rnacentral:rRNA from 1 species
UGGGGAAUAUUGCGCAAUGGGCGAAAGCCUGACGCAGCAACGCCGCGUGAGGGAUGACGGCCUUCGGGUUGUAAACCUCUUUCAGCAGGGACGCUGUACCUGCAGAAGAAGCGCCGGCUAACUACGUGCCAGCAGCCGCGGUAAUACGUAGGGCGCAAGCGUUGUCCGGAUUUAUUGGGCGUAAAGAGUUCGUAGGCGGUCUGUCGCGUCGGAAGUGAAAACCCGGAGCUCAACUCCGGGCCUGCUUUCGAUACGGGCAGACUUGAGUGUUGCAGGGGAGACUGGAAUUCCUGGUGUAGCGGUGGAAUGCGCAGAUAUCAGGAGGAACACCGGUGGCGAAGGCGGGUCUCUGGGCAACAACUGACGCUGAGGAACGAAAGCGUGGGGAGCGAACAGGAUUAGAUACCCCUGUAGU